UACCUCGCUGCUUACUGACUGAUUUAUGAUGAGAUUAAGAUCAUGUGCCUGCCUAAACACCCUAUCUACUUACACCAAGAUUCACUUCAAAGUUUUGUAUCACUGAGUUAUGCUUCAAUUUGCCUUCAUUCUCUUCAUUACUUCAAUCUCUUCAAGUAAGUCUCGCCCCGCCCUUUCACUACCUGUGGAGCUGGAGGAAUGGUCUAGAGACACUGCCAUCUAAAAUGUGUGCAAAGAAAAACACGUGGUUGACCUACAUCAUGUGACAGAUGAGACCAGACAAGUCAAAAUAGCUGAAACAGAUGCUUUGCAGCUAAGAAAAGUUGAGGAUAGAGUCCCUUUGGACAUCUCUUGCAGAUCCUUCCUCCGGAGGUAAUAUUCAGAGCUGCUAAUAUUUGCAGUAAUAAAAGUAUAGUGAAGUAACAUAGAAACUGAUAGAGCUUUGCUAUGACAUCAAGACCAUGUAUUUACAGUCUUCAGCUAAUUUUCUGUUCUUUAGCAGCCUCAGUGGAGCCAUUCACCAAUAGCGACUUGUUCUGUUUCUGUUAGCUUCUCGUAUGAACCUCUACCUCCAACCUCCUUGCUGAAAGUUGUUGCUGGUUGGCCUGUCUUGAUAACAAACCACAACUGGAAUGGGUGGAGAGUUACAAGAUACAGUGCAGGUUUUGCCACUAAUAAAAUGGGGGAUAUGAAACGGGAAGGAGUCAUGAGCUUAUUUCCAGGAAAUGGUCAAUAAAAUUAAGAUUGGGCUCCUGUCCAGCAGUAAAAAAUGGAUACAGCUUAAAGCCUGUGACUGUUUCUACAAUUCCUCCCUCCUCAUCCAUGUGUCUCCCUUUCUCUCUGUCCCUCUCUAUCUCACAUUGGAGCUCCAUCAAUAAACCUAGGCCUCCUGUAAUGAAUACAACAUUUCAAACUCCUCUCGUCAAAUUAUAUUUCUGUUAAAUAUAGAUUUAAUUUUGUUUUUAACAAAUAUUGUUUAUCUUACUUAUUUU
rnacentral:lncRNA from 1 species